rnacentral:lncRNA from 1 species
GCUCCUUAGCAUUAUGUCCCUACAUAUCCCAAUGAGAUACUUUCAGUACUAUAGUAUGCCCAUCAAAAGGAAAGAUUAUGAUACUGCAGAUUCAUAAAUUUCACACACUAUUCAAAAGAAUUCAUGAGGGGUUUGGGGGUGGGGGUAUAUACCUGCGACUGACUUGUUUGGUGUUUUCAUCCUGCUGAGGUUAUUGGUCCAUACAUGAAACAAUGGAAGGGAAGAAAUAAGAUUUACUAGUCCUAUAUUUGAACUUGUUGGGGUAAAAAUGGUAGGUUCUUGGUGAUGCCAUUGAAGCCAUUCUAUUUGCUUUUUUUCUUUUUCCCUUGGUCUUGAAUCUUGAGAAAAAAAUGGAAAAUGGUAUCCUAUAGUGUUGGAGCCUAAAAGAAUGACUAUUUUUUCUAGAGCAUUUGCC